AGCCGGGCCCCACGCGGCGGGUCCCCGUGAACCGGGUCAGGGCCGGGAGGCAGCAGCCCUCAGCGGAGCGAUUCGGGUGCCGUGGCCAGCCUGGCUUCC
rnacentral:SRP_RNA from 1 species